rnacentral:tRNA from 1 species
CAGGUGUAGCACAACGGCUAGGGCACCAGCCUUCCAAGCUGGGGACGUGGGUUCGAUUCCCAUCACCUG